CUCCGGUUAGCCUUGUGGAUAAGGCGUUGGAUCGCCAAUCCGGAGACGGCGGGUUCGAUUCCCGUUCCGGUCG
rfam:Aedes albopictus isolate Foshan contig31956, whole genome shotgun sequence.